GAUGAACGUUGGCGGCAGGUUUGACACAUGCAGGUCGAACGGGAAGCAGGUGCUUGCACCUGUGGAGAGUGGCGAACGGCUGAGUAACACGUAGGAACGUACCCCACAGACAGGGAUAACAGACCGAAAGGGCUGCUAAUACCUGAUAUAUCCUUCGGGAGGAAAUGGUCCGCCGCUGUGGGAGCGGUCUGCGGCGUAUUAGGUAGUAGGUGAGGUAAAGGCUCACCUAGCCUGUGAUGCGUAGCUGGUCUGAGAGGAUGAUCAGCCAGACUGGGACUGAGACACGGCCCAG
rnacentral:rRNA from 1 species